UACAGAGGUCUCAAGCGUUGUUCGGAUUCAUUGGGCGUAAAGGGCGCGUAGGCGGCGGGGUAAGUCGGGUGUGAAAUCUCAGAGCUCAACUCUGAAACUGCACUCGAUACUGCUCUGCUUGAGGACUGGAGAGGAGACUGGAAUCACGGUGUAGCAGUGAAAUGCGUAGAUAUCGUGAGGAAGACCAGUGGCGAAGGCGGGUCUCUGGACAGUUCCGUGACGCUGAGGCGCGGAAGGCCAGGGGAGCAAACGGG
rnacentral:rRNA from 1 species